AGAAAGAAGAGCAUUAUUCUGAAGAACAUUCCUUAAGUUUCCCUCUUGAGGAGCUGAUCACAGGGAAGCCUGAGAGUCACUGUCCUUGCCCCUCAGAGUAUGCAGAGGGCAGGAGUUUGUUCUUCCUCCCCAUGUGAAGAUAAAAGAAAUGGCCGGGCACGGUGGCUCACACCUGUAAUCCCAGCACUUUGUGAGGCCGAAGCGGGCGGAUCACGAGAUAAAUUAGUUGGCAGGACCACUGUGUCCAGAGCUGGUUCCUUCUGCUGGGUUCGUGGUCUCCCUGACUUUAAGAAUGAAGCCGUGGACCUUCACGGUGAGUGUUACAGCUCUUAACGAUGGGACGGACCCAAAGAGUAAGCAGUAGCAAGGUUUAUUGCGAAGAGCGAAACCACAAAGCUUCCACACCCUGGAAGGUGACCCCAGCUGGUUGCUGCUGCUGGUUGGGGUGACCAGCUUUUAUCCCCUUAUUUGUCCCCUCUCAUGUUCUGUUUCUGUCCUAUCAGCGUGUCCUUUUUCCAAUCCUCCCCGCAAUUGAUUACUUUUAGAAUCCUGCUGAUUGGUGUGUUUUAUAGAGCGCUGAUUGGUGCAUUUUACAAAUCUCUUGUAAGAUCGGAAAGUUCCUGAUUGGUGUGUUUUACAAUCCUCUUGUAAGACAGGAAAGUUCUCCAAGUGCGCACUUGACCCAGGAAGUCCAGUUGGCCUCACCUCUCACUACCAGAGGCUAAUUUCCAUCCUGGUAUUUCUCAGGCCCAUAGAUAGUGUAAUUUCAAAUCCAAACCAAUAUGGCUAUUGACUUGUAUUUGGAAAUUACCUUCUUUUUUUUCUU